GCAAGUCGAGGGGUAACAGGAAAGCUUGCUUUUGCUGACGACCGGCGCACGGGUGCGUAACACGUAUGCAACCUACCUUUAACUGGGGAAUAGCCCCGAGAAAUCGGGAUUAAUACCCCAUAAUAUUCAUCUUUCGCAUGUCUGAUGAAUUAAAACUCCGGUGGUUAAAGAUGGGCAUGCGCGACAUUAGUUAGUUGGUGAGGUAACGGCUCACCAAGACCGCGAUGUCUAGGGGUUCUGAGAGGAAUAUC
rnacentral:rRNA from 1 species